rnacentral:rRNA from 1 species
UGAGCAAUCUGCCCUUCUCAUCGGAAUAAGCGUUGGAAACGACGUCUAAUGCCGAAUACGACCUCCUUUCGCAUGAUCGGAGGUGGAAAGCUCCGGCGGAGAAGGAUGAGCUCGCGGCCUAUCAGCUAGUUGGUGUGGGUAAUGGCCCACCAAGGCGACGACGGGUAGCCGGCCUGAGAGGGUGACCGGCCACAUUGGGACUGAGACACGGCCCAGACCUCCGUACGGGAGCAG